rnacentral:rRNA from 1 species
GACGAACGCUGGCGGCGUGCUUAACACAUGCAAGUCGAACGCUGAAGACCUGGCUUUUGUUGGGUUGGAUGAGUGGCGCACGGGUGAGUAACACGUGAGUAACCUGCCCUCUUCUUUGGGAUAACGCCCGGAAACGGGUGCUAAUACUGGAUAUUCACUGAUCUUCGCAUGGGGGUUGGUGGAAAGGUUUGUUCUGGUGGGGGAUGGGCUCGCGGCCUAUCAGCUUGUUGGUGGGGUGAUGGCCUACCAAGGCUUUGACGGGUAGCCGGCCUGAGAGGGUGACCGGUCACAUUGGGACUGAGAUACGGCCCAGACUCCUACGGGAGGCAGCAGUGGGGAAUAUUGCACAAUGGGCGAAAGCCUGAUGCAGCGACGCCGCGUGAGGGAUGGAGGCCUUCGGGUUGGAAACCUCUUUCGCUCAUGGUCAAGCCGCAACUGUGGGUUGUGGUGAGGGUAGUGGGUAAAGAAGCGCCGGCUAACUACGUG